CUGUUUUCAGACGUUGCCGUUCCUGCGUACGAGAAAAAUGGCGUAGUCAUUGUGCCUAGUUUGAUUUGUUGGGUCGGCGUCAACGUAGAAUGCAUUCUGAGUACAAUACAGGUCUUUUGUCAUAUGUUGCGAGGGCGUGAAGGUUAAUUUCAUGUUCUUUGUGCGUGUGUUGAUUUUCUGUGUGUCGUCUUUCACUUGUGUGGAGGACGUUUUGAUUGCAUUGAAGGUAGGCGUGCCUGCAAGCAGAUAGAAUACUUGGGUCUUUUUGCAGUUUUGAGUCUGUCUUUACUACAGAGGUAACAUGACUUUUCAUCGAGAGCUGACAUGCUGUGGAGUAUGUGCAGCAACAGUUGGCAGACUCACUUGAUAUCAGAACAGGAAACCUCGUGUCCGGAAAAGAUUCAUCUCUGUCUGAACUAGGCAUGCAUUGUGACUGGAACAGUUGCAGCCUGGGCCCUUAAAUAAAUAUAAAAUCACAUCUAUUACAUCCUUCUGGGAUCUGACUUGCAUGUCUUUUAUAACUGACACUUUUACAAAAUGACUUUAAGAAUUAUCAAAUGCAUGCCAUACAUUACAGUUAGCAGUGUUUGCACCAAAGCACACAGGUGAUACAAGUCGUUUAUAAAAAUAGCAUGCGUUACAAAGUGAAGCACUCGCAACAGAACAAUGGCGACAUCACUUUUAAAAUUACUACUCAGUGAUAGGGGUUGAAAGCAACUUUUCUGCUACAUUGCCGAGCAAUUCAUAUCGUUUAUUGCUAUGGAGGGGGGUUGUUUGUAGUGGUUUCAUGCAUCAUCUCAUGAACCAUCUUGUAUGCAAUGCAUCACAGUAGACAGUAAUGAAACUACUGAAGGGCAAUGAAAUGUAAAGUUCCUGCAAAUUAUAGAAAAUGUGGGUAUGAAAUAAUCAUUUUAUUCACUGAUAUUUUCACAGACUUAUAAUUCAGU